UUAAUUAUGAGCAUUUGUAGCAUUCUUGAUAUCACUUCUUAAUGGAAGAGCGCUGUUGUGGGGUAAGGCCAUAUGGAACGCUAAUAGUGCCAUAAUUAAUUCCUAUGAUGCCUUCACUAACCAUU